UCCAGACUCCUACGGGAGGCAGCAGUGGGGAUAUUGCACAAUGGGGGGAACCCUGAUGCAGCGACGCCGCGUGGGUGAAGGAGCGUUUCGGCGCGUAAAGCCCUAUCGGCAGGGAAGAAGGAGGACGGUACCUGACUAAGAAGCCCCGGCUAACUACGUGCCAGCAGCCGCGGGAAUACGUAGGGGGCAAGCGUUAUCCGGAUUUACUGGGUGUAAAGGGGGCGCAGACGGCAGCGCAAGCCAGGAGUGAAAGCCCGGGGCUCAACCCCGGGACUGCAUUUGAAACUGUCAGGCUGGAGUGCAGGUGAGGUAAGUGGAAUUCCUAGUGUAGCGGUGAAAUGCGUAGAUAUUAGGAGGAACACCAGUGGCGAAGGCGGCUUACUGGACUGUAACUGACGUUGAGGCUCGAAAGCGUGGGGAGCAAACAGGAUUAGAUACCCCGGUAC
rnacentral:rRNA from 1 species